rnacentral:rRNA from 1 species
GUGAGGAAUUUUCCGCAAUGGGCGAAAGCCUGACGGAGCAAUGCCGCGUGAAGGAUGAAGGCCUAUGGGUUGUAAACUUCUUUUCUCAGAAAAGAAUUAUGACGGUAUCUGAGGAAUAAGCAUCGGCUAACUCUGUGCCAGCAGCCGCGGUAAGACAGAGGAUGCAAGCGUUAUCCGGAAUGAUUGGGCGUAAAGCGUCUGUAGGUUGUUUAAAAAGUAUUCUGUCAAAGAUUAGGGCUUAACCCUAGAUAGGCAGAAUAAACUUUUAAGCUAGAGUUUGGUAGAGGCAGAGGGAAUUCCCGGUGGAGCGGUGAAAUGCGUAGAUAUCGGGAGGAACACCAAAGGCGAAGGCACUCUGCUGGGCCAAUACUAACACUGAGAGACGAAAGCGAGGGGAGCAAAUGGGAUUAGAUUCCCGAGUAGUCC